AGCAUAUCAAUAAGCGGAGGAAAAGAAACUAACAAGGAUUCCCCUAGUAACUGCGAGUGAAGCGGGAAAAGCUCAAAUUUAAAAUCUGGUGGCUUUAUAGUCAUCCGAGUUGUAAUUUAGAGAAGCGUCUUCCGCGCUGGACCAUGCACAAGUCUCCUGGAAUGGAGCGUCAUAGAGGGUGAGAAUCCCGUCUUUGGCAUGGAUGCACCAGGGCUUCUGUGAUGCGCUCUCGAAGAGUCGAGUUGUUUGGGAAUGCAGCUCAAAAUGGGUGGUGAACUCCAUCUAAAGCUAAAUAUUGGCGAGAGACCGAUAGCGAACAAGUACCGUGAGGGAAAGAUGAAAAGCACUUUGGAAAGAGAGUGAAACAGUACGUGAAAUUGUUGAAAGGGAAACGCUUGAAGUCAGUCGCGUCGAUCAAGACUCAGCCUUGCCUCGGCUUGGUGUAAUUCUUGGCUGACGGGUCAGCAUCAAUUUUGGCCUUUGGAUAAUGAUAAGGGAAAGGUGGCACCUUUGCGGGUGUGUUAUAGUCUCUUGUCGGAUACGAGGGUCGGGAUUGAGGAACUCAGCAUGCGCCUUUUGGUGUCGGGGCUUCGGCCUACGUUACGUGCUUAGGAUGC
rnacentral:rRNA from 1 species